rnacentral:rRNA from 1 species
UACGUAGGGUGCAAGCGUUAUCCGGAUUUAUUGGGCGUAAAGCGUCAGCAGGUUCUUUACCGCAUCUUGUUUCAAAUACCAGAGCUCAACUUUGGGCAGGGACAAGAGAUGGGUAGAGUUGAAAUACUCAGGGGCUACUGGAACUUAUGGUGUAGGAGUGAAAUCCGUUGAUAUCAUAAGGAACGUCAAGGGCGAAGGCAGGUAGCUGGGGGAUAUUUGACACUAAGUGACGAAAGCCAGGGGAGCGAAA